rnacentral:rRNA from 1 species
GACGAACGCUGGCGGCGUGCUUAACACAUGCAAGUCGAACGGUGAUCCAUCAGCUUGCUGGUGGUGAUCAGUGGCGAACGGGUGAGUAACACGUGAGUAACCUGCCCCUGACUCUGGAAUAACCCCGGGAAACCGGGGCUAAUACCGGAUAUGACAUCAUCCCGCAUGGGUGUGGUGUGGAAAGUUUUUUCGGUUGGGGAUGGGCUCGCGGCCUAUCAGCUUGUUGGUGAGGUAGUGGCUCACCAAGGCGACGACGGGUAGCCGGCCUGAGAGGGCGACCGGCCACACUGGGACUGAGACACGGCCCAGACUCCUACGGGAGGCAGCAGUGGGGAAUAUUGCACAAUGGGCGGAAGCCUGAUGCAGCGACGCCGCGUGAGGGAUGACGGCCUUCGGGUUGUAAACCUCUUUCAGCUCUGAAGAAGCGAAAGUGACGGUAGGAGCAGAAGAAGCACCGGCUAACUACGUGCCAGCCGCCGCAGUAACAC